rnacentral:lncRNA from 1 species
AUGUCCAAAAAAGGAGGAAUGAAAGGCCAGCUUUCUCAUCACCCCACAGACACCCCCCCCACCCCCGCCCUCCGUGCUUCUUAUUGUUCUUGUUCUCUGCAGUUUCUUUUCCAAAGCGCUUGGUUUGGGGGAUGGUGCGUCUUCCUUGGGGCCGCCCCACGUGGCUCAGAGUGGGCACCGGCAGGGGUUCCCCUGGGCCAAGGAGGGGCCAGGUCUGCAGGAGCGGUUCUCCUCGCCCCCCACGCGUUUUUCCUUCCCCAGUUUGAUUUUUCCAGCCGAGAUGGGGUUCAUUUUACGGAGGACGUUGAACUGCUCAGAGCGCGAAGGGGGAAAUGCCAACUUGGAUUACUGACUGAGAACACCGCGUGAAAGGCCAGGCCUCCCUGAUCACCCGGACAGGCGCCGGCUUCGCGCUCCAGCCUGUAGAGGUGUCAACCGCGUGAGAGAUGCUCGGUCUCCCGGGAUCCAAAUUGGAGAUGGAAUCAGAGAUGGAAGGGGGAAAGGAGGAGGAUCCUUGAAACACCUGCGCGCCCACGGUCCCACUCCUCCUCCUCAGCCCCGCAUCUCACCGAACUGACCCCGGGCCAUUCUUCAGAUGUCCCAGCAGUUUUUGGAUCGCAGAGCUUCAGCGGUAGUUAGCUCAUCGUCAAUUCUCUUUUUUCUCGGUUAUCUUUGCUUUUACUUUUCAAGGCAACUAUGUAAGCAUUCGGUUUUCUGCAUAUUCACUUUCUUACAAAACAAAAGUUAUAUAUUUCUUAGGAAAUAAAAGAACCAGGGAUUCACAGUUCUUCCCAAUGGAAACAUAUUUUUAAGGCUCGACUUUGGGGGCAGCUGUUUAGAUUCGUGUAACCUGGUAGACUCUACUUACUGCACAUGGAAGUCCAGCCAUGCAAGAAAGCAAGAGGCAACAUGUUAAAGUUAUUUCCAAAGGACGCAUCUCCUAGAGUAGCCUGUUUGGACUGCAGCUGGCUUUUUAAAGAUUCAGUACGGAGUGUAUAUCUUCUCUGAUAGAUCUUGUCGAAUUGUACAGCAGGUUGUGUCACCAGUGUUUGUCUCCAUUUCUUUCUAAUAAUUCCAUUAUCACCUUCUCUUUGUUUCCGUCUGCACUCAAAUCCUCGAUUUCACUAACACUCCUUUUUGCUCCAUAACUAAAGGCAUACGUGGAGACGUUAAACAAUGGAGCAAAGAACCAAAACCUUUCACCUAUCUUAUUUGAUGUAGAAAGGAUUAAAUAAAGGUGCUGAAGUCCAUGUAAAAUGGAAACAGGAAGCCUUAAAAUACGGAGAGAGCUGGGGAUGGUUUCCAUGGCAGCAGCUUGCAAUAAAGCCUAAUUCCAAGUGACAAAGAGGUCAUCUUCCUUUUCAAACGUGUUUAUGAUCCCUUUGUGUAUUGUAUUUUGGCAUAAAAGCUUCUCCGCACCGUCAGGGCUCCGCGGGCAGCUCUAUGACUCUCAAGGGGGUUUAUUGCCUCCUUGGCAUAAGAAUAGCCGAAAGAAGCCAAACUAGUGCCAGUGUGACAAAAGAGUAACCCCACAGGCUUGCCAUUGCUUUCUUUCCCUUUUUUUUUUUUUUUUGCAAUACAUAAAUCUUGCUAUGCAUUGAAGUAAUCAAGCACGAAGGAUUCUGAGAUAAGUUUAGUUUAAUCUUGUUUUUUUUCUUCAAAUUUUUACAUCUACUGAAACAUCAUAUGUAAACCAAUACAAGAAGGUUGAUUUAAUAUGAGGAUAUGAUUUAUUUUUGCGUUACUUUCCAGAUAAUUUUGGGAAAGAAGUCAAGUGAGAUAAAACGUUGAACAUACCUGUGAAACUAACUAAAGACUAGCUGUAAACUUCAGAUAAUCAUUGUAUCAAUGAAUUAAUACUUUUUUUCAUAUCACAGUGCCUAGACUGAUCAAAAAGAUGUUUUUAAAAAUCAAACCUAUCUAGGCCAGGUGUGGUGGCUAACGUCUGUAAUCCCAGAACGUUGGGAGGCCAAGGCGGCAGGAUCACUUGAGGCUGGGAGUUCGAGACCAGCCUGGCCAACAUGUUGAAACCCCCUCUCUACGAAAAACACAAAAAUUAGCGAGGCUGGUGGCACAUGCCUGUAAUCCCAGCUACUCGGGAGGCUGAGGCAGGAGAAUCACUUGAACCCUGGAGGCAGAAGUUGCAGUGAGAUGAGAUCCCACUACUGGACUCCAGACUGGGUGACAGAAUGAGACCCUGUUUCAGAAUAAAUAAAUAAGGGCCCGGCGUGGUGGCUCAAGCCUGUAAUCCCAGGACUUUGGGAGGCAAGCAGAUCAUCUGAGGUCAGGAGUUCGAGACCAGCCUGGCCAACAUGGUGAAACCCAGUCUCUACUAAAAAAGUACAAAAAUUAGCCAGGCGCGGUGGCACACACCUGUAAUCUCAGCUACUCGGGAGGCUGAGGCAGGAGAAUUGCUUGAACCCGGGAGGCAGAGGUUGCAGUGAGCUGAAAUCUUACUGCUGCACUCCAGCCUGGACAACAAGAGUGAAAACUCCAUCUCAAAAAUAAUAAUAAUAAUAAAUAAAAAAUAAUAAGAAAGAUAGUUUUAAAAAAAUCCUAUCUUCAAGCCUGUAAUCCCAGCACUUUGGGAGGCCGAGACGGGCGGAUCACGAGGUCAGGAGAUCGAGACCAUCCUGGCUAACACAGUGAAACCCCGUCUCUACUAAAAAUACAAAAACUUAGCCGGGCGUGGUGGCAGGCGCCUGUAGUCCCAGCUACUCGGAAGGCUGAGGCAGGAGAAUGGCGUAAACCCGGGAGGCGGAGCUUGCAGUGAGCUGAGAUCCGGCCACUGCACUCCAGCCUGGGUGACAGAGUGAGACUCCGUCUCAAAAAAAAAAAAAAAAAAAAAAAAAAAAAAUCCUAUCUAAGUUAAUAAUGUUUCCCCUAACCCUCAAAAUUACCAUGGCAACUGCUUGGAAGCAGACAAGAAAAAAACAUAAUUUUGCUGGAAAAACAGUAAAGAACUCAGAAGUUCUGAGUUCACAUCCAAUGUUUCUCUUGAAUUAGGAGAUAUUUUGGACUGUAUCUCUGUGUGACAUCGGGCAUGUGCACGCAAACACAUCCUGUAGAGUUUUUCAUGGUAUCUGCAAUAGAAACUCCUUCCUAUAAUUUUCAGUAGAUGUAGGAGACUCCAUCUGACAUUUUCAGUUAUUAUUCUGUAAGCAAACAAUUUUUAAAGUGGUUCAGUUCUCCUUGAGUAGAGCUGUUCUGGCAUCUUAGGCUUCUCUGUUCCACAUCGGGGAGAGUUUUCUAAACGUCCGAGAGUUUUCAGAACCAUUUUGUUUUGAACUAUAGGAGGUGAAGCUGAACUGAUGAAGGCACUGACCAGUGGUACCCUCUUCACUUCCACAUUACUCUGUAUCUUACCUACACUUUCAUAACACAUGCAUGGUGUGGUAAUUACUAUAAUACCUUACAAAGCAGAUUGGAGAACAUAUCUGUGGUGUCAAUGACUGGAUAUAGUUCUCCAGGUAAUCAGGUAAUUGCUGCCUCUGCUUAUUUCUUUUUUUCUUUUCUUUCUUUUUUUGAGACAGGGUCUCACUCUGUCACCCAGGUUAGAGGGUAAUGGCACGAUCCUGGGUCACUGUAGCCUCUGGCUCCUGGGGUCGAGCGUUUCUUCCAUGUUAGCCUCCUGAGUAGCUGGGACUUCAGGCAUACACUACCACACCUAGCUAAAUUUUUAAAUUCUUCAUAGAGAUGAGGCCUCCCCUAUGUUUCCCAGUAGGCUCAAGCGACCCUCCCACUUCAGCUUCCUAAAAUGCUGGGAUUAUAGGCGUGGUUACUGCUCCAGCCCGCUUCUUUUUUUCCUUUGAGAUGGAGUCGCCAAGGCUGGAGUGCGGUGACACGAUCUUGGUUCACUGCAGUCUCCACCUCCCAGGUUCAAGGGAUUCUUAUGCCUCAUCUUUCCAAGUAUCUGGGAUUACAGGCACAUGCCAGUACACCUGGCUAUUUUCAGUAGAUGGGGUUUCACCAUGUUGGCUAAGGCUGGUCUCAAACUCCCGGCCUCAAGUGAUUCGCCCGCCUCAGCCUCCCAGAGUGCUGGGAUUACCAGCAUGAGCUGUGGUGCCUGGCCUGCUUCUUUAACUUUCUUUUUUUUUUUUUUUUUUUUUUGAGACGGAGUCUCACUGUGUCUCCCAGGCUGGAGUGCAGUGGCACGAUCUCGGCUCACUGCAAGCUCCGCCCCCCGGGUUCACGCCAUUCUCCCGCCUCAGCCUCCCAAGUAGCUGGGACUACAGGCGCCCGCUACCGCGCCCGGCUAGUUUUUUGUAUUUUUAGUAGAGACGGGGUUUCACCAUGUUAGCCAGGAUAGUCUCGAUCUCCUGACCUUGUGAUCCAUCCGCCUCGGCCUCCCAAAGUGCUGGGAUUACAGGCUUGAGCCACCGCGCCCGGCCGCUUCUUUAACUUUCUAAGGAAGAAAGUCAAAGGGUCAAUUUUCUUCAAUACCUUUUUUUUUUUUUUUUUUUUUUUUUUUUUCUCUCCCUACCCCAGCAAAGUGAGUGAAACUCCCCAAGGGCAUUUUGAUUCUAAUGUUACCAUAUUUUUGGUAAGGGACUAGAAAGACAGUAUUCAUAAACAUUGAGCUUCUUCACCCUUUUGUAUUCAUGACACACUUUCAAAUUCUAGAAAUUUUUCUUAGCAAAUUGGAAAGGAUUACAAGUCUCAAGACAACAUUAAACAAGGCAACAAUGAUUACACCAUGCACUGUCUCACUGGCAUCUCACAGAAUCUAUUAACAUUCAUAAUCAUCGGAUUAUUCACUUCGUUGUCCUUUUGCACUAUAUUACUGUGUAAAUAGAACUAUUUCUUGUCCUACAGUGAUCUGCUCUACAUGGUAGGCAAUAUUUUUACAAGUUCCAGGAAACACAAUUUCUUUUGCACUAUAUUUAGACUCUUAUUUAAAGCUGAAGAGGUCUGGUGUGGUGCCUCACACCUGUAAUCCCGGCAUGUUGGGAGGCUGAGGUGGGAGGAUUGCUUGAGGAGUUCGAGACCAGCCUGGGCUAUUUAGGGAGACCUUGUCUCUCUAAAAAAAAUUAAAAACUAGCCAGCAUGGUGGUGUAUGCCUGUAGUCCCAACUCUUCAGGAGGCUGAGGUGGGAGGAUUGCUUGAGCUCAGGAGGUCAAGGCUGCAGUGAACUGUAAUCGCACCACUGCACUCCAGUCUGGGUGACAGAGUGAGAACAUUUCUCAAAAUAAAAAUAAAUAAAUAAAUAAAUAAACAAAAGAAAGCUUGCUAUUUCCUUUCAUUCCGUGAUGUUCAGUUAAUUGUGUUUCACCUGACAAAACACUACUGCUGGAUAUUGUGGAGGAUGUUCCUUGUCUUUGCCAUAUCUGACUCUCUAAUCCUUUU